rnacentral:pre_miRNA from 1 species
AAAACAUUCGGACCGUCGGUCGGUACCGAGCAAUUUCAACCGCUCGGUUGAAGAUCUACCCUUUUUCGU